CGGCAGGCCUAACACAUGCAAGUCGAACGCACCUUCGGGUGAGUGGCAGACGGGUGAGUAACGCGUGGGAACCUGCCCUGUGGUACGGAAUAACUCUGGGAAACCGGAGCGAAGAGCGUAUACGCCCUACGGGGGAAAGAUUUAUCGCCAUAGGAUGGGCCCGCGUCAGAUUAGCUUGUUGGUGGGGUAACGGCCUACCAAGGCUACGAUCUGUAGCUGGUCUGAGAGGAUGAUCAGCCACACUGGGACUGAGACACGGCCCAGACUCCUACGGGAGGCAGCAGUGAGGAAUCUUGGACAAUGGGCGAAAGCCUGAUCCAGCCAUGCCGCGUGAGUGAAGAAGGCCCUAGGGUUGUAAAGCUCUUUCAGCGGGGAAGAUAAUGACGGUACCCGCAGAAGAAGCCCCGGCUAACUUCGUGCCAGCAGCCGCGGUAAUACGAAGGGGGCUAGCGUUGUUCGGAAUUACUGGGCGUAAAGCGCGCGUAGGCGGACUGGCCAGUCAGGGGUGAAAGCCCGGGGCUUAACCUCGGAACUGCCCUUGAUACUGCCAGUCUAGAGUCCGGCAGAGGUGAGUUGGAAUUCCUAGUGUAGAGGUGAAAUUCGUAGAUAUUAGGAAGAACACCAGUGGCGAAGGCGGCUCACUGGGCCGAGACUGACGCUGAGGCGCGAAAGCGUGGGGAGC
rnacentral:rRNA from 1 species